CCAUUUUUUUUAAUGGCGGAUGGGUGCCUGGGUGCGUGGAAUCUCACGGGGAGGGCAGAGUACAGUUCACGUCGCGGUCAGCAGCUAACCGCGUUUCCGCGUUGAUCCCAUCCGUCGCCCAUCUCUGCUUCUUGGCGUCGGCAGUAUCGCUUUCUUGUACCAGAUCUGAGGCCUGGGUCCCUGGGGAUGGGAGAUCGGAGGGCGUGAAUCUCGAGGGGAAGGGAGAGAUGGCGGCGGCGGCGGUUGCGGAGGGGAGGCGGCGCCACCGGCAGCAGCACGAUCUGGUGCCUCUGGCGGCGCUGAUAAGGCGGGAGCUGAAGAGCGAGAAGAUGGAGAGGCCGUGCAUCCGGUACGGCUGCGCCGCGCAGUCCAAGAAAGGGGAGGACUACUUCUUUAUGAAGACCGACUGCCACCGCCUCCCCGGAAACCCCUCCUCCACCUUCUCCGUCUUCGCCGUCUUUGAUGGCCACAAUGGGAAUGCUGCGGCGAUAUAUACAAGGGAUAACCUGUUGAAUCAUGUACUGAGUGCGAUACCGCGUGGGCUUAGCCGGGAAGAGUGGCUUCAAGCUCUGCCUCGCGCGCUGGUUGCUGGGUUUGUCAAAACUGACAAAGAAUUCCAGAGCAGAGGACAAACUUCUGGUACCACUGCCACAUUUGUGAUAAUUGAUGGGUGGACCAUCACUGUUGCUUCAGUUGGAGACUCUCGUUGUAUUUUAGAUGCUCGGAGCGGGGUGGUUUCUCUGUUGACCGUGGAUCACAGGCUGGAAGAAAAUGCCGAAGAGAGGGAACGUGUGACUGCGAGUGGAGGUGAAGUAGGAAGGCUCAACAUUCUGGGUGGUGCUGAGAUAGGUCCCCUCCGAUGUUGGCCAGGGGGUCUAUGCCUGUCGAGGUCUAUUGGAGAUAUGGAUGUUGGAGAAUUUAUCGUUCCAGUGCCUUACGUCAAACAAGUCAAGCUAUCUAGUGCUGGGGGAAGACUUAUAAUUGCUUCAGAUGGCAUUUGGGAUGCCCUACCCUCUGAAAUGGCUGCAAAGUCUUGCCGAGGUUUGCCUGCUGAGCUUGCUGCCAGACAAGUUGUGAAGGAAGCUCUGAGAACAAGGGGGCUGAAAGACGACACAACCUGCAUUGUUGUUGACAUAAUUCCUCCGGAUCAUUCAGUCCCGCCUCCAUCCCCACCAAAAAAGAUGAACAAACUUAAGUCUCUCAUUUUCAGGAAAAGGUCAAAGGAUUCUGCUAGUAAACUGGCAAAGAAAUUGUCUGCUGUGGGUAUUGUAGAAGAACUGUUUGAAGAAGGUUCGGCAAUGCUUGAAGAAAGAUGACCUGUGUUGCAACAUGAGGAUCCAAUGUCAUGAUGACAUCUUGAAAGAAGGCUAGGGAAUGACUCAUCAGCAGGGCAAACAACUUCAGGCCUGUUCACAUGUGCUAUCUGCCAGGUCGACCUUGCUCCCAGCGAGGGCAUAUCUGUGCAUGCUGGUUCCCUCUUCUCCACCAGCUCAAAGCCAUGGGAAGGCCCCUUCCUAUGUGCUGAUUGCCGCAACAAAAAGGAUGCAAUGGAAGGAAAACGCCCUAGUGGAGUGAAAGUGCUAUAGCUUCUCUCCUUUCCCCUCGCAUUGUCCCCAUUCGAUUAUUUUGUUCUUUGAAUUUAAUUUGCUGCCAAUUUUUGCGGGCUGCGUGAUUGUUUGACUUUGGGGAGGAAUGAGGCACCCAUGUAUGUAAUAUACCUGUAAAAGGAACGUGACUCCAGCGGUGAUUUAUGUUAUUUGAAUUUGAUUUUCCCUCCUAACAAAUUGCUGUACUAGUUGGCAAGUUACAUAUAUCGGCAAUGAGUAUUUAAUUAUUGUAUU